rnacentral:rRNA from 1 species
AUUGAACGCUGGCGGCAUGCCUUACACAUGCAAGUCGAACGGCAGCGCGGGGCAACCUGGCGGCGAGUGGCGAACGGGUGAGUAAUAUAUCGGAACGUGCCCUGGAGUGGGGGAUAACGUAGCGAAAGUUACGCUAAUACCGCAUACGAUCUGAGGAUGAAAGCAGGGGACCUUCGGGCCUUGUGCUCCUGGAGCGGCCGAUAUCUGAUUAGCUAGUUGGUGGGGUAAAAGCCUACCAAGGCGACGAUCAGUAGCUGGUCUGAGAGGACGACCAGCCACACUGGAACUGAGACACGGUCCAGACUCCUACGGGAGGCAGCAGUGGGGAAUUUUGGACAAUGGGGGCAACCCUGAUCCAGCAAUGCCGCGUGUGUGAAGAAGGCCUUCGGGUUGUUAAAGGCACUUUGUUCAGGAACGAAACGGUACU